AUCAGAACAUAUCAGAACUAGAGGUCAGACCUUUUUAGGUUAAACAUUCGUUAUCUUGAUAUAGAAACACCACGUAUACAAGUGAAACAAUGCUGCUUAGUUUAGUUAUUCUUGCAACUAUAAUAGGGAAUAUUGAUGCACUCUACUGUUUAAGUUGUACCGGAGUUGUCUCCCCUAGACACUGUCAUUCUAUACAGAAGUGUGAAGAUGGAAAGGUUUGCUUCACACAGAGAUAUUCAGGAAUCAAUGGUGAAAUCUUAUACGACACGGGCUGUCAAAGCCCAUUGGUA